rnacentral:rRNA from 1 species
UUGGUGGCGACCGGCGCACAGGUGAGUAACGCGUAUGCAACCUACCUAUCAGAGGGGAAUAACCCGGCGAAAGUCGGACUAAUACCGCAUAAAACAGGGACACCGCAUGGUGAUAUUUGUUAAAGAAAUUCGCUGAUAGAUGGGCAUGCGUUCCAUUAGGUAGUUGGUGAGGUAACGGCUCACCAAGCCGACGAUGGAUAGGGGAACUGAGAGGUUGGUCCCCCACACUGGUACUGAGACACGGACCAGACUCCUACGGGAGGCAGCAGUGAGGAAUAUUGGUCAAUGGGCGAGAGCCUGAACCAGCCAAGUCGCGUGAAGGAAGAAGGAUCUAUGGUUCGUAAACUUCUUUUGCAGGGGAAUAAAGUGCAGGACGUGUCCUGUUUUGUAUGUACCCUGAGAAUAAGGAUCGGCUAACUCCGUGCCAGCAGCCGCGGUAAUACGGAGGAUCCGAGCGUUAUCCGGAUUUAUUGGGUUUAAAGGGUGCGUAGGUGGUUUGAUAAGUCAGCGGUGAAAGUUUGCAGCUUAACUGUAAAAAUGCCGUUGAAACUGUCGGACUUGAGUGUAAAUGAGGUAGGCGGAAUGCGUGGUGUAGCGGUGAAAUGCUUAGAUAUCACGAAGAACUCCGA